rnacentral:rRNA from 1 species
GGUGAACGCUGGCGGCGUGCCUAAUACAUGCAAGUCGGGCGAACAGACGAGGAGCUUGCUCCUCUGACGUUAGCGGCGGACGGGUGAGUAACACGUGGAUAACCUACCUAUAAGACUGGGAUAACUUCGGGAAACCGGAGCUAAUACCGGAUAAUAUAUUGAACCGCAUGGUUCAAUAGUGAAAGACGGUUUUGCUGUCACUUAUAGAUGGAUCCGCGCCGCAUUAGCUAGUUGGUAAGGUAACGGCUUACCAAGGCGACGAUGCGUAGCCGACCUGAGAGGGUGAUCGGCCACACUGGAACUGAGACACGGUCCAGACGCCUACGGGAGGCAGCAGUAGGGAAUCUUCCGCAAUGGGCGAAAGCCUGACGGAGCAACGCCGCGUGAGUGAUGAAGGUCUUCGGAUCGUAAAACUCUGUUAUUAGGGAAGAACAAAUGUGUAAGUAACUAUGCACGUCUUGACGGUACCUAAUCAGAAAGCCACGGCUAACUACGUG